AUGAUUAUAGAUUAUGAAUUGAUCAUAUUCACACGAGUAUCAUCUCUUAGUGAGUUGCUUUCAUCCUCUUGCAACUAUGUGUCUCAAUUUUCUAAUUUUGUUUCACUUGCAUGCGAGUUUUUUAAUUGUUCUUCUGUUAAUAUUUACAAUGAUGCAUGUAUAAAAAUUGAUAUUUUUUUCGCUGUCAAUAGAAUCAUGAGGGCAUUGUGGUUACUAUAUUUUUUUAUGGAAAAAAAAAA